CCUCAAUCGGCAAAGCAAUAUUGUAAUGGUGUCCAUUGCAAUCUGCUGUCUUACUUGCUGCUCUCAAAAAUUCUGAAUAUGUUCAGAGAUUUCUUGGGCAAUAAUAAAUCCCCAAAAAACAACAACUUUGCAUUUAUGCUAAACCUGCCUGUUGUAAACGUAUUCUGUAUAUUUCUUGACAUAAGUACUUGUACUUAAAUCUGUUUAACAAAGCUGUUUAUAUUGUGG